GCUGGGCAUGGUGGCUCAUGCCUGUAAUCCCAGUACUUUGGGAGGCUGAGGCAGGUGUAUCACCUGAGGUCAGGAGUUUAAGACCAGCCUGGCCAAUAUGGUGAAACCCUGUCUCUA
rnacentral:SRP_RNA from 1 species